UUUUCCCGUUUUUUUCUCCGGACCCGACCGCUAUCGGGGUGAGGCUAAGCCAUGGGAGUCGUACGCCCCGGAUACCGGGGCGUGGCGGACGGCUGAGUAACACGUGGCUAACCUACCCUCGGGACGGGGAUAGUCCCGGGAAACUGGGGCUAAUCCCCGAUAGGUGGGGACUCCUGGAAGGGGCCCCACCUAAAAGGGUUCUACGGGGAUGUCCGUGGAACCGCCCGAGGAUGGGGCCACGGCCCAUCAGGUUGUUGGCGGGGUAACGGCCCGCCAAGCCUAUAAUGGGUAGGGGCCGUGAGAGCGGGAGCCCCCAGAUGGGCCCUGAGACAAGGGCCCAGGCCCUACGGGGCGCACCAGGCGCGAAAACUCCGCAAUGCGGGAAACCGUGACGGGGUCACCCCGAGUGCCCCGAAGAGGGGCUUUUCCCCGCUGUAAAAAGGCGGGGGAAUAAGCGGGGGGCAAGUCUGGUGUCAGCCGCCGCGGUAAUACCAGCCCCGCGAGUGGUCGGGACGGUUAUUGGGCCUAAAGCGCCCGUAGCCGGCCCGGCAAGUCCCUCCUUAAAGCCUCGGGCCCAACCCGAGGACGGGGGGGAUACUGCCGGGCUAGGGGGCGGGAGAGGCCGGCGGUACUCCCGGGGUAGGGGCGAAAUCCGUUAAUCCCGGGAGGACCACCAGUGGCGAAGGCGGCCGGCUGGAACGCGCCCGACGGUGAGGGGCGAAAGCCGGGGGAGCGAACCGGAUUAGAUACCCGGGUAGUCCCGGCUGUAAACGAUGCGGGCUAGCUGUUUGGGCGGGCUUAGAGCCCGCCCAGUGGCGCAGGGAAGCCGUUAAGCCCGCCGCCUGGGGAGUACGGCCGCAAGGCUGAAACUUAAAGGAAUUGUCGGGGGAGCACAACACGCGUGGAGCCUGCGGCUCACUUG
rnacentral:rRNA from 1 species